rnacentral:rRNA from 1 species
UGCUGCUGGUUCUCUUGGGAGCAUGUGCACGCUUGUCAUCUUUAUAUCUCCACCUGUGCACCUUUUGUAGACCUGGAUAUCUCUCUGAGUGCUAGUCACUCGGGUUUGGGGAUUGACUUUACGUCUAUUCUUACAUUUCCAGGCCUAUGUUUCUUCAUAUACCCCAAUUGUAUGUUAUAGAAUGUAAUCAAUGGCCUUGUGCCUAUAAACCUAUACAACUUUCAGCAACGGAUCUCUUGGCUCUCGCAUCGAUGAAGAACGCAGCGAAAUGCGAUAAGUAAUGUGAAUUGCAGAAUUCAGUGAAUCAUCGAAUCUUUGAACGCACCUUGCGCUCCUUGGUAUUCCGAGGAGCAUGCCUGUUUGAGUGUCAUUAAUAUAUCAACCUCUUAAGCUUUUGCUUGUUGAGUGUUGGAUGUGGGGGGUCUUUUUUGCUGGUCUUUUGAGGUCAGCUCCCCUGAAAUGUAUUAGCGGAACAAUUGUGGACCGUUCAUUGGUGUGAUAACUAUCUACGCUAUUGACGUCAAGCAGUUCAGCUUCUAACAGUCCAUUGACUUGGACAAAUUUUCAUUAAUGUGACCUCAAAUCAGGUAGGACUACCCGCUGAACUUAAGCAUAUCAAUAAGCGGAGGAAAAGAAACUAACAAGGAUUCCCCUAGUAACUGCGAGUGAAGCGGGAAAAGCUCAAAUUUAAAAUCUGUCAGUCUUUGACUGUCCGAGUUGU